ensembl:ncRNA ZK816.6 ncRNA
UCCCUCUCGUGCCGUGUGGAACGCAAUAGAUAGCAAAGGGAACCACAUUAUCCUAUGACUCGUUCUCCUAGUAUCCGGGCCCCGGCCGGCUUGUUUUUCGACUCGACUGACUGAAGUGGAUAAGUGACGGA